GGCAAUGAAAGAUCCAUAAGGUCCAGAGAGGAAGGGGGAUUGCUGGACAGUCUUUCCAUGUUCCCCAUAAUUACAGCGGUUGCCAUGUCCAAGAACAACCCCUCCUCCUUCACUCCCUCCAGCGAAGACAUCUCCUUUCCUGCUGCAGGACCGUCCCUGAUUGGAGUCUUGAAAUACAAGUCUACAAUGUAAUUGAGUCAUCCAUCACAUAAAGCUUCCCAUCUUCAUUCAACAGUAGCUUUGCUUCAUGCCCUCCUUCAUUGAACAAAACUUGAAGUUGCACCUAUCAACAUUAGAAAUCCCAAAUUGAACAGCUUCUUGCAACAUCAAGAACCAAAUAGUAUCAUGAUGAGCCCCUGCUUUCCAGGAGUGAAAUCCUCCUUCAAUUCCAGUCGGAUCACAAAUAUGACUAACAUGUAUUGACAACAUGUUGUCCUCUUAAACUAUAAUUAAUGCAGAAUUUCUAUUCGACAGUCUUCUGGGUACUUAAAAGGCUCUUGCUUCAGUGUGUUCAAUUUCACAAGUAAACAAAACCAUCCACAACUUCACUUAAUUGCUGACUUAAAAAUGAAACGCAGCCGAUUUUCGAGUUUUUUUCCAAAACAUUAUCUUUGCAACAAGAUGAAUUGUCUAACGGUCACCACAUUGAAACCAUCUAAGAACAUCAUUUCAUGAUAGAAGAGUCCUACUAUACUCAUCCUACAUCCACAAAGCAAUCACUUCCUAGCACAAUAACUUCAUAAUUACGAGAAAAAAUCCGCCUUUUCCACACCUCCCUGUUUCAAAGCGGACUUUCCCUAAUAUGUAACCUACUAUCGACAUGGUUUAAAUGGAUCGAUGGAGUUCAGUAAUGAGACCACUACCCAGAUUGUAAGUGUAAUAGACACUUCUCCGUACCCCGUCCUUGUUGUGGGAGAGCUGAAGGAGCGGCGGCGCGAAAAGAGGGAGAUGGAGGUGAGGAUGACGGAGUGGAGAGUGGAAGCAGAGGUAAUUGAGGUGCAGACAACAAUGGGGAAGGAGAUGAACCCUAUUUAUGCCCAAAAGCUUCAGCACACUAAACAUCUGAUGAAACAGAAAAAACACACCUGUUAAGUACACAUAUAAUUUUUGGUCUAAAAUUAAAAUACGCACCCUUUUCAAAGAGCCAGCUCAGAAAUUUAUUAUACCUAUAAUACAACUUCUGGGGUUUUGCAGAUGAGGUGCCAAUACCGUUUCAUGCAUCACUUCUGCAAAAUUCCACAUUUGAAGAUCCAGAGUUGUUCUAGGGAGGGAGGGAGGCCAUCUUAGGGUAAAUCCCUAAGCUUCGGGCAAUGGAAGAUCCAUAAGGCCCGGAGAGAGGAAGGGAGACUGCUGGACAGUCUUUCCACGUUCCCCAUAAUCACAGGGGUUGCCAUGUCCAAGAACAACCCGUGCUCCACCACUGCCUCCAGUGAAGAUAUUUCCUUUCCCGCGGCAGGACCGUCCUUAAAUGGAGUCUUGAGAUACAAAUCUACAAUGUACAUGUAAGGCUUCCCAUCUUUAUUCAACCGUAGCUUUGCCUCACGCCCUUCUUCAUUGAACAACUCUUGAAGUCUCACCUAUCAACAUCAGAAUUCUCAAAUCAAUCAGCUUCUUGUAAAUCAAGAUCUAAAUAGUAUCACGACGAACCCCUGCUUUGCAGGAGCGAAAUCCCCCAUCGAUUCCAGCCAGAUCACAAAUAUGACUCCCAUGUAUUGACAAUAGUAAUGUACUCUUAACCACAAUUAACGCAGAAUUUCUAUUCGACAGCAUUCUGAGUACUUAAAGGGCUCUUGCUUCUGUUUGUUCAAUUUUACAAGUAAACAAAACCAUCUGCUCACAACUUCACUUAAUUGCCGACUUAAAAAAUGAAACGCAGCUGAUUUUCGAGUUUUUUCCAAGACAUUAUCUUCACAACAUGAUGAAUCGUCUAACGUUAACCACAGUGAAUCCAUCUAAGAACCGAAUUCACAGUCCAGAUACUCCAACAUUCAUCUCGACUCCACUAACCACAAUUAUUAUAUCUAACCUGUCGAGAGUAGAGAUUUCCACUCAUCUUGAAUCCAGAAAGCAAUCACUUCCUAGUGCAAUAACUUCAUAAUUACUGGAAAGAAAAAAAAAACAAUUCACCUUAAUUACCCUAUUUCAAAGCAGACUUGCCCUAAUUCGUAACCCUAUUACUGACAUGGUUUAAAUGGACCGAUUGAGUUACAGUAUCGAGACACUUUACCAGAUUGUACUUCCAAGAAAUUAUGUAACCCUUCUCUGUACCUUGUCCUUGUCGACAAGAGGGAAGGCUCUAGUGGGAAACACGGAGGGGUUGAUGGCGGUGCAUGAGAGCUGAAGGAGCAGCAGUGUGACAAAAAAAGAGGGAAUAGGAUGACAGAGUGGAGAGGCGAAGCAGCAUUAGGUGGCGAUGGAGGUGCGGACAAGACAACACGGGGGGAAGGAGACGAUGUUGAAAGAAGAAGGGUGGGUUAUUCUUGGCACCCCCCUAGUGUAGUUAUGCUCAAAAGCUCCAGUUUACUCAUCCAUCUGCUAAAAUUAUAUGAACUUAGUGGGAUUUCGCCAAUGAGGUGCCAAUCACAACCGAUCUGUUCUGUGCAUCGCUCCUUUAGAAUCUCACCACAUCCUUGGAUAGAGACCAACCCUCUAGACCUAGCCGCAGGCCAUUUCCAAUGAGAAUAACGAAUUACAGCAGAUACUUUGGCCUGCAAAGGAAGAGAAGAGUCAUAAGUUAUUUUCCUUGAGAAAUGAUUUUGGCAAGAUCCCAGCAUGGUGUCACAAAUCAUACCAAGAGAAAUAUUAUCUCCAACGCCUACUAUAUAUCUAAUGCAAUAUUCCCAACUUUAAUAAAUUCUUCCAAGUAUAAGUAGCAUCUGGUUUACAGUCAAGAUGAUAGCUAUAAAGCCAGGCAAAACAUAGAAACCACACCUCUACAAAAUUCUCCACAAACACUUUAAAAUACAAGCAAGAUUUCAUAAAUCCAGUCUUCGAAUGCUAAGGCCUGCAAACUACUUAAGAGGAUAGACAGUCCAUCUAACUUUUGCUCCCUCUUUAGCAUCAGGAUCUGCCUUCCAAAGGAAAAGCUCUACGCUUACGCUCAAUCAUUUCAAAAACUUUCUUGGGCAACAAAAAGAGUUGACACUAAAAGCUAAUCAAACUAUGAACAAUAGAUUUGAUAAGCCAAAGUUUUCUGGCAAAUGAGCGGCUUUUAACAAUCCAAGCUUUAAAUCUUGAUGCAAUUUGAUGAUUUAUGAGAGCCUCAUAAUCCUUGUCUGAAAGUCUUCCAGAAAACAAGAACAUAGGGCGGGCUGAUUGGUCAUGCUAUUUGAUUCAAUUGCUGCAUGUCACACAAAUGCAGUUUUUAAAAACUUAAGCUGUUAAGAAACGUGCCAAGCAAUGCAUAUGUAACGUAUAACUUAACACUUCCCUUGCAUAGAACUGAUCCCUUACACACACAAACACACAAAACAGAAUGUGGACGUAAUCACAUCAAUGAGAUAACUGGGGAAUGAUAACAAACAACAUAACAUACGAUAAAUUUUAAACCAUUGACGUGUGCUUAGAUACAACGCUAAAAUUGAACAAGUAAAAUGCCGACAAUACGCUAAUCCUUCAGAAGAGAUUCUUCCUAGAUUAUGAUCACACCCCAUUACCAUUACCUGUGUCUUUCAAACAGUGUGUCUUUCAAACAGCCAGUCAAAAGAAACAGCAGAAACAAAUCUACUCACCCUUUAAACUUUGCCAACCAGCGUCUCCAGAGUCCAUGGCUAUGCAUCUUUGAUUCCAAAGCAGCUUCUCCUCCUCCUCCUCCUCCUCCUCCUCCUAGACUUAACAUAGACCUUUCCAUGGGUCCUUGUGCCGUACCGACAAAAUUCAUCAAAGGGGGAAUUCCAAUGUAAUCUGCAAGGCGUGCAAGAGUUAGAGACUCUUGGCGAAUGGGCAGAGCACAGCAGAUGACGAAAAGAAUUGCUGGAUGAGUACAGAAAACUGCUGGAAUGGAAUGCACAAAAAUAAGUCGAGAACUCCAAAUCCAAAUGCAACAGGUAAGUUAAGACAAAAGUGACUACGAGUAGAGGAGUAGCAAAUGGCAGAGAUCGAUCGAUACCUUGAUUUUUGAAUGGAAAUAGUAUGUCCGAGGCAUAGGAAUCUUUGGGAGAUGGAGACAUGGGGUGAUCUGAGGUGAGGAUGACGAUCGAGUGGAGAGGCGGAGCCUAGGGAGGCGAUCGAGGUGCAGAGACGACAGAGGGAAAAGUGGAGGUGAUUGACGCUAUGGAAUCCCCUUCUUCAAAAAGAGCCAAGGCUCAGACAUUAAAAAUACCCUAAUCUCUUCCGCGUAGAAUAUUCAGAGUCCAAAUCCCUUUUUUUCAAGUAAUUGACGUGUAGUUAUUACCCAAUGUGACUUCUGGGAUUUCGCGGAUGAGGGGCCAAUAGUAGCCGGUCCCUUUCCUGCAUCGCUUCUCCAGAAUCGGGCAAUUCAUGAUCCGGAGUAUUUCUAGGGAGGGAAGGAGGCCAUCCUGGGGCAACUUCCUCAGCUUCGAGCAAUUCCCAAAGGCUAAGAGCUUGAGAGAGGGAGGGAGAUUGAUGGACAGUCUUUCCACUUUCCCCAUAUCAUAGAUAUAGAGAUAGAGCAGAGAGGAAGGGAGCGGAAGCACAAGAUCCUCCUCCUCUCCCACUCCUCCCACGCUGCCGUCGAUCUGCAGAGAUUGAAGGGAGGUGAGGGGGGUGAGCCACUCCCUCACCGGCUGCUUCAUAUUCUCGCAUUUAGUCACUUCAAGUCUGUUUAGCUGGGGCGGCAAUCCUCCAUCGGGGAAGCGCGUAAUACUCACAGACUCCUCAAUUGUCAGAUUUCGGAGACUCGUGAGCCGAUGCAACUGAUUAGGUAACGAUUUUAUCUUCGGACAAUUCCAAAGCCAAAACGUCGAGAUGCCGGGAGGAAGAGGAGAGAAGCACUCCAGCUCUAGAGCAACACAGUCGAACAAGUGCAAGGUAUUGAGGGCGGAGAGUGUAUUUAAGCCCUGGGGUAAGCUUCUCAACUUAUCGCAACCCUGAAUUUUAAUAUAUCGAAGCGACUUAAGGCAAUCUAGAUUUAUUCGCGCAAGCGACUCUUCGUUCUGCCAAUUGUAAAUUAUGAGACUCUUGAGGGUUAUAGGUAAAAAUAUGCCUCCGCUGAACAGAGCGGCUGGCCAAGAAGUGCAGUUGCCGAUCACUAAACUUUGCAAACCAGACGUCUUGUCCCCCUGGGUAUUGAUGGUGCUUAGUUCAUCCAGGUCAACAUUUAAUCCCCUGGGUAAAUAUUGCAACCUAUUGCAAUCGCAGAUUUUUAAUGAUAUCAUAGAUAUCGGUAUACCUGUUUCGGGGAAGGACAUGAGAUUUGAACAGUUUUCGACCGUCAAGUUUCUAAGAGAGUAAAGGUUGUACAUCUUGUUGGGGAGCUUCUCUAAUUUGAUGCAAGCACUCAGGCUGAUGGUCUCAAGGUUGCCAGGCAGCUCUAUAUCUCCUUCUUCAGCCACAAAAUACAUGAAUUCAUAACACGCGUUGAUGAAUAACUUCUUCAAACAACCAAGAUUUUGGAUUACAUCUCUCUCUUGCCAUAAGUAAGUUAACUUUUUACAUCUUUUGAUAUCUAACUCCUCCAACUUGAUUAGGGAACUUGUAAACCCAUGAUUUAAGCAAGUCAAUUCAGAGACAUCUUCUAUGACAAGAGAGGUUAGAGAUGUCAAGUUUACCAAUCUCUUCAGCACCCCCUCAUUACAAUUUUUGAAUUUUAAUUCUUUGAGAGAUGGAAGGCUAAUGAUGGAGGGCAACGCAUCCAUAUGCGGACAGGACUUGAUUUCAAGCUUUGUGAGGGAGCCUAGUUGACUAGGCAAUUUUCCUAUCAACACAGGACAAUCUUGAAUCAGGAGAUGCUCAAGAUGAGGGAACAAAACUCCUGCUUCUUCAAUCCCGAUUGAAUGAGACCAGUCUUCCCACAAUAGCAUGUCCUUGAAUUCCAGAGUUAUUAAGGAUGGGAAAGGACUCUCAUUAGUUCCAUAAAAUUCAGACCCUAUCGUGCAUAUAGCAUUUAGACCUUCAAUAUAUAAUUCUUUGAGCAGAGAUAGCUGCCCGAGUGAUGGCAAUGUUUUGGCCCUGCAACAUCCAUGUAAACGUAAAUGCACAAUGUUGAGACAUGGGGGACUUUCUAACCAUGACGGGAAUUUUAGGCCACCAUAGUAGGAUAUCACGAGAUUUUCAAUGUUUUGGUGAGGUUGAAGANNNNNNNNNNNNNNNNNNNNNNNNNNNNNNNNNNNNNNNNNNNNNNNNNNNNNNNNNNNNNNNNNNNNNNNNNNNNNNNNNNNNNNNNNNNNNNNNNNNNGGUGCCUUAGGUGCCUCAGUUUGCCAAGGCAAUCUGGUACCUCUCUGAUUUGAUAGCCCCUCAAUGAAAGCACCCUUAAGUAUUUUACUGUCGACAACAAGUCACAUAGCACUUUUUGGGACAAAGAGGGCUGACCGCAAUAUCGCUUUCGUAAAGAUAUGAAGCUCCUAAGUCCCUUCAUUCGAUGAUAUAUCUUGAGUCUUUUUGGCACAAUGUGAUCACUGGGAAUGAAUGAGGCAUGACGAGCAAAAGAUGCAUUACUUUGAUUACCCUCAAACUCAAACUCCUCUGAGCUAAAACAAGUUGCAUCAGCAACUAGCUUUGCAAGGUCAUUCACAAGAUCAUGCAUCAAGAAUUGUGAUCCGUUUAUACUCGACUUUUGAAAUAACGAUCUAGAUUCUAGCUCGUUAAAAUAAUUCAAACCUACAUUCCAAAGGUUCUUUGCUUCUUUUACCUCCAACAAGCCUUCUGCAAUCCACCAGUGAAUCAAGUCGUCCCGUUCAAUUUCAUAGUCCUUUGGAAAUAUAGCACAGUACGCAAAAACAUCUCCUCAAAUUGUAAGGGAGAUGAAGAUAGCUAAGUUUCAAAGCCGGAACGAUCUCAUCUUUUUCUUUUGGUAGGUCCCAAAUUUUGCUAUUCAAUAUAGCUUCCCAUUCUUGGGGAUUGAAUUUAUUGCGUAGCAGCCCAGCCAAUGUCUUCACAGCUAAUGGCAACCCUUUGCAUUUUUCUGCUAUUUUCUGGCCUAAUACUUCAAGAUUUGGAUGAUGAUCAAAAUUUCUUACUCCGAGAGCAUGAAAUGCAAACAAAGUCAUACAAGCAUCUUGUGACAACUCUUUGAGAUGAUAUGGUGGAGCACCGGCCAAUGAAGCAACGCCGUCGUUACGAGUGGUAAGGAUGAUCUUGCUUCCCUUCUCUCCCGAUUGAAAAGGCUUCAAUAGGGUAGUCCAAUUUCCGUAGUUCUCGUUCCAAACAUCAUCUAAAACGACAAGAAACUUCUUCCCCGAAAGGUUUUUCUUGAGCUUAUCUUGAAGCCAAUUCAAGUCAUCUCCUUCACAGGACAAAUGGCCGUUGGUUAUUCUAAGGAUACUCUUUGUGAUAGCAAGCACGUCAUAAUCUUCCGAAACGCAAGCCCAUGCUUUCACAUGGAAAUAGCCAAUGACUCUCGCAUCAUUGUAAAUUUGCUGGGCCAAAGCCGUCUUCCCCACACCCCCCAUCCCUACGAUGGGUAUCACUUUUAGAUUUGCACAUGUUCUAUCCUCUUCAUCUCUGGUCAAUAAUUCAAGGAUCUCGCUUAUUUCAUCCUCCCUACUAACAAACCCAGGCUCGGGCAAAUACGUGGUGGGAAGCGGCUUAUCCUGUCGACGGUAUACUGAUCGAUUCCCAUUAUUCUCUCCAAAGUUAAAAGUAUCUUUCCGAGUGAUGAUAUCUUGUAGUUUGUUAUCCAUCUCUUCGAUCGUGGAUCUCAUUUUACGGUCAAACAUAAAUGCUCUCGGGCUCAAUUUGAAGCAACCAACUUCGGAAAGAAGGGAGCGCACCUUGCUAUUGCCGAGUUCUGCCUUGGAAAUUAUUUUCUGCAGACUUUUGGUGGCGAACUCAUCAAGGCAAGUCUUCGAUGUCAUAGGGCGAAGUUCCCCGAGAUCUUUUGAGCCACGACUCCACUCCCAGGAAGCGCUGGUCAGUUGUCUUCUUCCUCUUGCACCAUCCCAGGGACUUGAUUGGAUGGCUAUNNNNNNNNNNNNNNNNNNNNNNNNNNNNNNNNNNNNNNNNNNNNNNNNNNNNNNNNNNNNNNNNNNNNNNNNNNNNNNNNNNNNNNNNNNNNNNNNNNNNUGGACGUUGAGGCCACAAUCUGUGUAAUGCGACAUUUGUUGAUUCUACCCGAGGUAAAAUGUCCUAAUGAAGGGCAGACAGAACUUCAGCUUUUUAUCUAGUGCCCUGCCUUGGGCGUGUAGACGGAAAGAUUCCUUCCGCAAUUCUAGUGCAUAUUGGCCCAAAUCCCCUUCCUCACCGUCUCCAUCUUCACCGAGCCUGCGCGCUUCACCCGCUGUUCACCUCUCUUUUGUUUUCUUAUUUCCUUCUCCUAAUAAUGGCAGACAAGCGACCCAUUUCUUGUUCUUGUCUUCUUUUUUUAAUGGGUUAAUACCUUGAAAAACCCUAAACUGGUACACUUAUGACAAAUUUACCCCAAACUAUUUUUUUGACUAUGAAAAACCCCAAACUGGUAAACUUGUGACAAAUUUACCCCGACUGAUUAUAAAAAACCCUAAACUGGUACAUUUAUGACAAAUUUACCCCAAACUAAUUUAUUCGACUGCAAAAAACCAUAAAAUGGUAAAUUUGUGACAAAUAUACCUAUGCUAAAUUAAAUUAAUACCACAAAAAAAUCAUAAAAAUUGUAAACUGUGACAAAUGGAAUGUAAAAUCAUAAAUUGGUAUACUGGUUAACUGUCACGUGUCAUUUAACUUAAUAAUUUGAGAAUAAAAUUUAACGAAAACUAACAUAGGAUAAAUUUGUCACAAGUGUACCAGUUUGGGAUAAAUUUGUCAAAAGUAUACCAGUUUGGGGUUUUUGGUGGUCAAAAAAAUAGUUUGGGGUAAAUUUGUCACAAUUGUACCAGUUUGGGGUUUUUUAGGAUAUUAUCCCUUUUUUAAAUGUUUUGAACUUGCGCUAGCUACACUGAAUUUGCAAUCAACAAAACUGUCGAUGGAGCCAAAAGAAAAAGGAAAGGCUUUAACUUUGCAGUCGUCACUUGCGCUGCUGAAGUUGAGCCUCUCUUUGAAAUUGCCAGUGACGAGCUGGAAUGUCGUGAAAUGCCCGUCGUUGAUGGAAGAAGCGGCUUGAGAAAAUCCAAUUACAACCCAUGGAGAGAGGAGAACAUAGAUCUUCCCUUUUUCCCAUCCUUCUCGCCUGCAGCCUUGCAAACCGACCUGGAGGUCCAAAACAUCCUGAACCAAAGAGAGGAGUAAUUGUACUCAUAUCCACGGCCAAUUUUCAAUCAAAAUGACCACCACUUUUUAUUUAAAGAAAAUACUUUUAGGGUGCUUAUUAAUCAAUUAAUAAAAAUAUAUAACUUGCUUUGUACUGAUUUUUUCGCAUAACAUAUAUGACAAAAUUUUUGAAAGUGGAUCCAUCAAUAUUAAGGAAAGUGAUCAUAUAUGUAGACCUAAUAAUUACUCUCGCUUUCAAAAUAAGUAGAAUGUGACCCAUGCAGGUGCAUGGAACCAAUUGAAGUUUACACAUUGACAUAUACAUCUUGUGUCUUAAAAUUUAUUACUUUAUUGUAGAAAAAACUUGCAAAAUGUAUAAAUAUGCUAUCAAUUUUAUAAUGACUGGCUAAUAGUAGACUAGACAAAGGAUUCGGUCAAUACAAAAGAACACAUAUAAGUCAAACUAAGAAUAAACAUAUCGGUAUAUUUAUCUUGAUUUUUGUUGCAAAAACAAAUUAUCGAACAAUAAUAAACCAGAAAAUAAAAAAGUAAAUGGGAUAUAGAAUAUAUUUGAUUCAGUCAUUAUGACCUAAUUCACGGGAAAAGUAGUAUCAUAUUGACACACGUGCCAUAUAAGAUUGCCAAUAAUAAUUGGACCAUCACAUUAGCAAUUUUAGGUGAAAAUUGAUUGGGAUGAUUAGAUUGAAAAUUCACACAAAGAUUUAGAACAGUAUUAACAAAAUUGAUAAAUUAAGGACUACGUUAAAAUUCACACAAUAAACACUUUUAAAAUUGAAUUGGUAAUUUUUCUAUUUGAAAUCAAAGUGGAUGUGGUACAAUAGUUAUGACAGCGAUAUCACUCUUAUCCCAAAUUUUUUGUGCAAAUUCAAGAUCAUAUUGGUCUUCACGCGUCUGAUAUGUCAAUUCGUUGUUUUAAAUGUCCGCUGUCCACUAUAGGUCCUAGGACAAUAAUGUCUACUGCUUCUUUGGCUUUUUCUCCCAAGCGAGUCAUUUGCAAUGAGAAACGCAAUGUGUUUCACAUUAGGACGAUCAUGGUCUUUUCACAACUUGCAUAUCCUUUGUUUUUUGGGAAAAAAUCACAAAAAACCCCACACUUUAUUCAAAAUGAUAAAUUUAUCCCAAAUUUUUUUUAUGACGUGAAAAACUCCAAACUUUUCAAACUGUAACACAUUUACCCCAUCAUAAGUAUUUUUAUCUUAUUUUUUCUGUUUUUCCUCUUUUUUUUCUUUUUUUCUUCUUCUUCCCUCCGCCGGCCAUGGCGGGGAGCCAGCAAAGGAAAGCUAGCAUCCGGCGAGGAGUGCCCUUGCCGACGUCGGGCGAGGGCUGUCCUCGCUCAACGCAGGCAAGGGCGAUCCUCGCUCAAUGCCGGCAAGGGCCUCCCUUGCUAGCUCCGCCAUGGUUGGCGGAGGGAAGAGAGAAGGAAAAAAAAAAUUUAAAAAUAAAAAGAUCGAAAUGUUCUAUAAUUUUAGAAUAAAUGUAUCAUACGAUAGAAGUUCAUAAUUUUUUAUGUCACAAAUAAAAAUUUAGGAUAAAUAUAUCACGAUUGAUAAAGUUGAAGAUUUUUCAAGUCACAAAAAAAAAUUAAAAUAAAUCUGUCACUUUAAAUAAAAUUUGAGGUUUUUUGUUAUUUUUUCCCUUAUUUUUUUAAGACAAGAAGUAGCAAAAAUCUUCGAAAUCAGGUCCACCCUCCAGUGAGGACAAUGGUGUCUUCUUUUCCUUUUGCUUUUUCCAAAAGUGACGCCACUAUCAAUAAUGGAUGUCCGUCGUUUGUUUUAUUCGGACAAGGAGUAGCAAAAGUCUCUCCGAAAUAAGAUCCGCCCUCAAGGACAAUGAUAUCUCCUUUUCCUUUUGAUUUUUCGAAAAGUGACACCACUAUACGUUUGAUUUGGCACGAAAUUGUUGGAGGAUACCACGAUUUUUUUCAAUCAAAACAAUUAUGACUGCCUUUUAAAGGAAUUACCUUUAGGGUGCUUACAAAUCAAUUAGUAAAAGUUUCAUUAUACUGAUUUUUCCCAGGAAUAGAUGUGAAGAUAUGAUGGACCAACUUCUCGUCAAAAGCAAACUGACAAAAAUGAUGUGAAAAGUCUGGCCUGUGGUUCCUAGCAGAUAAAUUACAGUUAAACACUAGGUCAAUUGCUCAUGUGACUACGGUACUAAAAACAUCUCGUUCAAAAAAAAUUAGGGAGCCCUUUCUCUGUUUCUUCCGGAGAUAACUACAGGACUCUGCAGGCAUCAAAUCUUGUACUUGAAGUCAGAACAUUACAAUAUUGGUUUUAAAAUUGUAAAGUUGAUCUUCUCACACAGAGUUCAUAUAAACCCUGAUUGCAACGAAGCUUUUCUUGAUUAACAGCUAGUUGCCAUUUGUAGGGACUGACUUCGUUAUAAUGCAUGUGAUGCGACCUUCUUGACCAAAUCUGAGAGAAUAAACAUCCAAACAAGAAAAGAAAAAACAAGUUCUCGCAACUCAUGAGCCAAAAACAUGUCCUCGAUCUCAGAUUUCACCGUUGUUCCCCUAUCAGAGAUGCCCUAGGAUGUAUUCUAGUGUGAGAAUGCACGAGUUCCAGGGUCCACAAGUUGUCACUUUACCUGAAUAACACGAGAUGACUCCAAGUAGAACUCUCUAAACCAGAGAAAGCCAAGAUCACUCAAAGUCACCGAUGUCGCUGCAGCACAGCAAUACGAAGCUAAAUUAGUCCAAAAGCUUUCUGUGUAUCGUCUACAGCAAUACAAGUAAACAAUAAUUGCUGCUGACUGUUAAAGAAAGUUUAUUUAUCCCAAGAAAUGCUGACAUGUCCAUAAGCGAAUGUAAUCACACAAAUGACAUUAAUGGGGCCAGGGAACACAAAAUAUAAAACGGUUAACAGAGGGGAAAGGGAACGAUCGACAAAGGACAUUCAUGUCCUUUUGUCUUUUUCUAACCAACUAACUUCGAAGGAAGCAAUAAUCAAGUGUUAUUGCUUGCCCUCAUUGGAAGCUCAAUUAGGAAUCUUAUUGUGAAAUUAGAAAGCCAGUAAAGGGUCAAAAUUUGGAUUACACAUCGAGAACGAUGGUAUUAGAAAGAAAUAAAAAAACAAUGUGGUUAUUACAUUUGCAUCCGGACCAAAAGGCAUUCUCUAUCCUAUAGGAGCAUGUCGUUUCUCACCUAGUAAGUGCAAAGUUCUAACACUAAGGCAAAUGUAAAAUAGCUUCUCCCUUCACAAUGCUGAGCCACUUCAACUGCUAGUAAAACUGCGGGAUGCUGGUUGUGAGAUCACCGGUAUAAUUUUAGGGAAGGUAAAGUUGAAGUUAUUGAAAGAGUCUUCUAGUCUGCAUUAAACUCCUCUUAUAAACUAUUUUCACAAAGUGACGAAUGCCGAUAGUUUGACAUAACAGAAUGUGCGGGAUUAUAGAAAAGUAAGAUGCACUGAAAGAAGGAAAGAUAAAAGAUCUUGAGUACAUCGAACUGUAGAUGAAAAGCAUGAGGUCUAAUACAGUGCAAUCGCAGCAGCAAUUGAACCGUUUUUCAUAAAAAUUGUACUAAAACAAGUAAAACAAAACAUAUGUUUGCGACCCGCUUUGGAACUAAUUAUGCGUACAAUUUAAGGCAAAUAUAAUUCAUCUUCUCAACUCAUAUUUUUUCUGAUCUCUGGUCAAGAAUGGAAAAUAUUAAACAGCAACAUGAGUAAAUGGAUAUGUUAUCAAGGCUUUAGUCCAAAAAACUUAAUAACUCAUUUUAAUAAGUUAAAAUGAAUCUUUUCUAUAUUAUAUUUCCAUUGCUUCCAUUUAUCAUAUACAUUUUCAGAAAAGUUAAAGCCACGUCAUCAAACUAGUGUAAACGUUUAUAUGUACAUAUCUUUCCAAGUCUCUGAAGAGUAAACUAUUACGUUGUACUAAACAAAAGCGACUUUUUCCUCAAGGCUAAAGUUUCGAAAACAUUAAAUAUUAUUUUUUAUUGUUUAUAUAAACAAUGUAUAGACACAUGUAGAUUCUUUAAGUGAUUAUUCUCAACUUGUUUAAAUUUUUCCAACUAUUGUGAAAUAUUUUUAGUCGAAAAAACUAUAUAUAGAUAUAUAUCAACAGUGAAUUGCAUUAUUUCAAAAUUGAAAAACAGAAUUGAUCUGCCCAUUAUGACAGCAUGUGCUUCUUAGCAACUUUAUAUAGGUAAAGUAGAAAAAACUGUCGGCAGACAAGGGGCCCAUUUCUAUUUCUUAUUAUUAUUAUUAUUAUUAUUUUAAAUGUUUUAAACUUGUGCUAGCUACACUGAAUUUGCGAUCAACAAAACUGUCGGUGGAGCCAAAAGGAAAAGGGAAGGCUUUAACUUUGCAGUCGUCACUUGCGCUGCUGAAGUUGAGCCUCUCUUUGAAAUUGCCAGUGACGAGCUGGAACGUCGUGAAAUGCCCGUCGUUGGUGGAAGAAGCGGCUUGAGAAAAUCCAAUUACAACCCAUGGAGAGAGGAGAACAUAGAUCUUCCCUUUUUCCCAUCCUUCUCGCCUGCAGCCUCGCAAACCGACCUGGAGGUCCUAGACAUCCUGAACCAAAGAGAUGAGUAAUUGUACUCAUCCGCGGCUAAUUUUCAAUCAAAAUGGCCACCGCUUUUUUGUUAAAGAAAAUACUUUUAGGGUGCUUAUUAAUCAAUUAAUAAAAUUAUAUAACUUGCUUUGUACUGAUUUUUUCACAUGACAUAUAUGACAAAAAUUUUGAAAGUGGAUACGUCAUUAUUAAGAAAAGUGAUCAUAUAUAUAUAGACCUAAUAAUUGCUCCCGCUUUCAAAAUAAUCAGAAUGUGAUCCAUGCGAGUGCAAGGGACCAAUUGGAGUUCACAUAUCGAUAUAUACGUCUUGUGUCUUAAAAUUUAUUACUUUUUUGUAGAAAAAAAUUGCAAAAUGGAUAAAUAUGAUAUCAAUUUUAUAAUGAUUGGCUAAUAGUAGACUAGACAAAGGAAUCGGUCAAUGCAAAAGAAUACAUAUAAGUCAAACUAAGAAUAAACAUGUCGGUAUUUUUAUUUUUAUUUUUGUUGCAAAAACAAAUGGUCGAACAAUAAUAAACCAGAAAAAAAAAAGUAAAUUGGAUAGAGAAUAUAUUUGAUUUGGUUAGUAUGACCUAAUCCACAGUGAGAGCAAUAUAAGAUUUCAUUAUUAAUCAAGUGAUACAUCGAGGUUAUGACAAUGCUCGGUAAUUCACAUGGUAUUUAGUGUGCACAAUUCCUUGCAAAACAACCAUUAAAUCUCACGAAGAAAUUAUGUAAAUCUUAUCAAGAUUUCGUAGUUGAUUGCUCAACUAGUGUUCAAAAACACUUUGAUAUAAAAAAUAAUUUUUAAGUAAUGGUUAGAAAUAAAUAUUUGUUACUUUGAUAGAAAACUAUUUAUUGUUUCUCUUCAUUAUCGUCAUUGCUACCUAGAUUUGGUCUCAAAGAUACGUCAUGCAUAAGAUUAGGGUGAAAAAAUUGAGUGGCCAUGCAUCGAAUUAAAUUGAGUUUGUGAUUAUAUAAUAUCUAUGAAUCAUACUCAAAAUUUGUCUAGGUCAUAUCGCUACACAUGUCAUAUAAGAUGGUCAAUAAUAACUGGAUCAUCACAUUAGCAAUUUUAGGUAAAAAUUGAUUGGAAUGAUUAGAUUAAAAACUCACACAAAGAUUUAAAACAAUAUUAGCAAAAUUGAUAAAUUUGGGACUUCAUUAAAAUUCACACAAUAAACAUUUUUAAGAUUGAAUUGAUAAUUUUCCUAUUUGAAACCAAAGUGGACGUGGUAUAAUAGUCAUGACGGUGGCAUCAUUCUUAUCCCGAAUUUUUUGAAUGAGCGUUUGCAAAUUCAAGAUCAUAUUAGGGUGCGAAUGGUAACGUUUCUGUUCUUUUUUUGUUCUAGGGAACAGAAACAAAAAAAAGUGUUUCUGUUCCGGGGAACAAUUUUUGAACAAAAGAACGCGUUUGGUAACGUUUGUUCCGGGAAUAAAAAAUGAAUAGAAACACAUUUGGUAAAUUUUAUUCUUUUUUUGUUUCUUUUAAUUUUUUAAACAUUUUUAUUUUAUUUUUCAUUUUUUCCUUUCUUUUUUAUUUUUUCUUUUUUCGGCCGGUCCCCGGCCUCCGGCGACCGGCCGACGGGGCCGGCAGCCUCGCCGGAUCUAGGCGAGCCUGAGCUUGCCCAGCCAAGGCGAGGCUCGGCCUCGCCGGGGGCCGGCGACGCUUCGGCGAGGUCGCCGACCCUCGACAGUGUCGCCGGCCCUCGACGGCCGGUCGCCGGCCAUGGCCGAGGCCGGCGACCGGCCAAAGAAAAAAGAAGAAAAAAAGAAGGAAGAAAAAGAGAAGAGAGAGAAGAAAUUUUUUGUUCUUUUUUGGCUUCGAAGAAGUUUCUUUUCUCUAGGAAUAACUUUUUUGUGUUUCUUUUUUUUUGCUCCAAUUUUGUUCCGGAAACAAAAAAAUAAAAAAAGAAUAAAAACGCAAUCAUACGCGUUUCUGUUCUUUUUUUGUUUCUCGGAACAAAAUCUGUACAUAAGUGUUUCAGAAACGUUUUUUUUUUUAGCGUUUCCAUGCACGCUCUUAGUCUUCAUGCGUCUCAAAUGUCAAUUCGUUGUUUUAAAUGUCCGCAGUCCACUACAGGUCCUAGGACAAUAAUGUCUACUGCUUCUUUUGCUUUUUCUUCCAAAGUAACAUUAUUAUCGCGAAUCAUUUGCAGUGAGAAACGUGAUGUGUUGACAUUAGGACGAUCUUGGUCUUUUCACAACUUGCAUGUCCAUCCUUUGCUUUUGUCAGACAAGAAAGGGCAAAAGUCUCCGAAAUGAGGCCCGCCCUCCAGUAAGGACAAUGAUGCCUCCUUUUCCUUUUGCUUUUUCCAAAAGUGACACCACUAUCGAUAAUGGAUGUCCGUCCUUUGUUUUAUUCGGACAAGGAGAAGCAAAGUCUCCGAAAUAAGAUCCACUCUCAAGGACAAUGAUAUCCUCCUUUUCCUUUUGAUUUUUCGAAAAGUGACACCACUAUUCUUUCUUUUUUUCUCCAAAUUAAUGAUAUUUCAUUACUAAUUCGAUAUUGUAGGAAAACAUAAGGCACAAAAUAGUUGGAGAAUACCACGAUUUUUUUCAAUCAAAACAAUUAUGACUGCCUUUUAAAGGAAUCACCUUUAGAGUGCUUACAAAUCAAUUAAUAAAAGUUUUAUUGUAUAUUUCCCCAAGAACAUGUAGGAUUACCUUUUUAUAGAGUAUGUAUGUUGGAUAAACAUGAAAUUAAAAUGAAAAAAUAUAUUUGUAAACAUAUGCAAUUAGUGCGAAUCUAAGUAUGUGGAUUUGUGUGGAGUUUUUAUUAUUAUUUAUUAUUAUGUGUUUUCAUGUCAAGGAUUGCCAAGUACAUAAAAGUUCACAGUUUUAGACAAUUACAUUUGACCAAAAAAAAAAAAAAGACAAUUACAUAAAAUUAAGGAAAAAAGUUUUGAAGCUGGGAGUAGGAAAAGACUGGAGCGGCAAUAGAAGAGUACUUUCCCUCAGCCGUGGCCAAUGAAUGGUUCAACCGUCCCAUUUUAAUGUAUUAGCUUAGAAUCAGGCUUAGGUCUUUUAGGCUUUUUGUGUACUUCUUGUGGGGGAUGAGAUCCUUUAUCUUUGUUUAUGUCCUCGUAACUCUGUAAUUAAUAGCUCAUUCCACUCUCUUCGUUUCUGGUCCAAUUUUUAUGAGGUCCAAUUUCUAUAUUACUGACUUUCGUAUUUCUCCUAGGAAGAACCCUAAUCGAUGAAAGAGAGUUGCUAUAAGAUUUUAAAAAACAAUUAUCUAUUGACUACAGGAUUCAAAGAGGGAAUUUAGAAAAUAAUUAUCUAAUAAGGACUUAUACUAGACACUUAAAAAAAUAAUUAUCUCACGGCGUGGAAUUGGGAAGAAUCUGUGCUUACUCGCAGUCAUUGAAUUUGCAACAUCUAUAUAAUAAGGACUUAUACUAGAGAUAUUUCCAAGAUAAUUCCUAAUGAGCAUAUUAUAUCUGUAUUUACUUUUUUUUUUAUGGCAAAACCUUUGUAUGAUAAGGUAUUAUUGCAAGAAAUGAAAGCAUAAUAGAAAGAACGAGUUUGCGUGUGAUUCAAUUAAUGUGCAGAAAAAAGCAACAAACAAACUAAAAACUAUUGCGGGAGAAUACAGAGGUAUAAUAGAUUCAGUUUAAUAUUUACACUUGAUUCAUGAAAUAAUUGCACAUAUCCGAUAUAUUGUGAUCAAGGGUUAGAGUGAAUUCUUCAAAUGGAUAAUUAACGUGUAUCUCGGGAAAUUUGUUAAGCAUAUUUAGUUUUAAUGAUUGUAUGAUAAUCUUUAAUGUAUUGUGAAAACAACAAUCUAUUCUGGAUAAAAAAAAAUCAAAUCUCAAAUAAUUUUUAAUUAUUGCGAAGUUCACUUUUUCAAGAAUUUGUUGCUCAUAAUAUAUUGUUAUUCUUACAAUACCCUAAGAAAUGUUAACCCAUUAGAAAAUCAACUUGAAGCAUAUAUUCCACAAAAUAUGAGAACUUGACGCGUUGGAAGCUAAAAAUUCACGGAAUUGACUGCUAACAAGUAUUUCGAUGCAUUCUUAGACCCAAAAAAGAAAAAGAAAAAGGUAUCUGGAAACAUUCGAUAACUUAAUUCCUUUUAAAAAUUGACCAGAAAAAAGGGUCUUUUAAAAUUCACUCGAGGAUCAAAUCGACAAACCCAUCCAAAUUGUUAGUUCCAUUGCUCCCAUCUCCACCCAGUCUGCGUGCUUCACCCGCCGUUUCCUCUAUUUGUCUUUUUAUUUCCUUCUAACAAUGGCAGACAAGGAGCAAGUAAAUGAUUAGGACUUAAUACCUAAUUAAUUGUACAUUAGUGGUGUAGGUAAGAAUGGAGACUUAAAGACACUGGUGGAGGUGACUGGCCAAGUAAAGUAGAUAUAAAAUGCAGAAAAUAAUCCAUCUCUCUCUGUAUAUAUAUUAUUUAUGGUCACCAUUUGUAUACUUGAUUGUUUAUAAGUCUGCUACUCUUGUGUUGAUUGAUACCUAAUCGAUUGUCCACUAGCGAUGGUGGUAAGAAUGGGGACUAAAGACACCGGUGGCACUGGUGGUGGGGACUGGCCAAGUAAAGUAAACAUAAAAUACAGUGAAUCAUCUCUCUCUCUCUCUCUCUCUCUCUCUAUAUAUAUAUAUAUGGUCACCAUUUGUAUUACUCGAUUGUGUCUAAGUGCGCUGAUCUUCUCUCGAUAGAGGCGACCAACAACAGUCUUUUUUUAAUAUUAUGUUUGGGCCUUAACUUAAUACCUAAUCAAUCGUCCGCUAAUCCUGUCUUGAUUGAGGUGGCCAGCAACAGUCUUUUUUUAAUGUUCAGUUUGGGCUAGUGACGACUUGGAGCAACCUGCUACAAACUUUUCAACUUCCCCAAAGAAUUAACUGGUGUUUAGUUAAGGCCUCAACUAAAGUUAGGUGUCCAAGCCCCGUAGUCCACACUAAUCUCAUUUAAAGAAAAAAUGUCGAUUGAUGCUGACGUUGCAUUUCAUUUCUCAAGAACAAAUAGGUCGGAAAUCAGACCAGGUUUCGGCAUGAUCGGAGUCACCAAAGGCUGGCUGAAAUCAGAAAAACAAGUUCCUCACGAUAAAUUGCUCGCUUUUUUUACGGUGAAGUACAUGCUUAUCAUGAUACACGCUCUCGUCCACAUCACGUGCACAUUUCUUAGAGGCCAAGUGCAACCUUCUAUGGGUUGAGUGAACGCUCAUAUGGUCAACAGCGAUCCUUCUAGCAUCUGAAUGAGAAAUGCUCCUCUUUCAAUGAGGAGCAUGCCCAUAAAGCAGGUCAAUGUUGAUGGUAACAUGAUGCUAAUGUCCUGUCAACAUGAUUGUGGAAUUAUCUAGAAAGUCAGUGUUCGGUUUCUAUUUUUGUGGGAACUGGUUAAUCCAAACUAAUGGUUGCAUGCUGUACGACUAUUUGCAAGAUAGAGACAGAUCUUUCUAAUAUUUUUACCAUUGGUCAAAAUCUAGUAUAAGUUAAAUCCACAAGACACAUCUCUAAAAGUGAAAAAAAAAAGAAAAAAGAAGAAGAAAGAAGCUAAACCCACGCGACCACAAAUAUAAUUUUUACAGCUUGCUUUCAACUACUCGUGAUAGUAAGAUGUGCUACUUCGCUAGAAAAGAAAGCAUGCAUAUCCAUAUAUAUAAGUUAAAAGCGUUUUUUACUUCAUUUUUUUGUUACAUGAAAUUACCCCCGACAAAUACAAUUUCUAUAUACAAGAGUGACCCCCCAUUUUUUUAAUGCAUAACCAACAUCUUUUCUCAAAAUCUCGCAUUUCAUCUAUAUAUUAAAGCUAAAAGCGUAAUUUUUUUUUAAGUUUACCCUUACAAUUACAAUAUCCAUUUACUGAAUAAUCACGUAAUUUUUUAUGCAUAACCAUUAUUUUAAAUCUUCACAAUUGAUUGUUUAACAAGUAUUUGGAAAUACUGAACGACAAAAUUCCAUUUAAAUAAUGACCGGAAAGAAAUUGCCCGUUAAAUUCACCCCUAAAAUGGCUCCAUACGCCCUUGGAGGAUCAAAUAGACAAACCUAUCCAAGUCGGGGGUUUCAUUGCUCCCAUCUCCACCAAGUCUGCGUGCUUCUCCCGUUGUUGACUUCUAUUUGUGCUUUUAUUUCCUUCUAAUAAUGGCAGACAAGGAGCAGGUAGACGAUUAGGACUUAAUACCUAGCCAACUGUCCAUUAGCGGUGGAGGUAAGAAUGGGGACUCGUGACCCUGGUGGAGGGAAAAGGCCAAGUAAAGUAGAUAUAAAAUGCAGAAAAUCAUCCAUCUCCUCUCUCUAUAUUUUUUAUGGUCAUCAUUUGUAUUACUCGAUUGUUUAUAAGUCCGCCACUUUUGAUUGAGGCGAUCGGGAUUAGUCUUUUCUUAAUAUUUAGUUUGGGCCAGUGAUGACUUGGAGCAACCUACUACUAACUUUUCAGCUUCCCAAGAAAUUAUUCGGUGUUUAGGUAAGACCUUAAUUAAGGUUAGGUGUCCGAGCUCUGUAGUCGAUUCCCAUCUCAAUUAGAGAAAAAUAUAGAUCGAUGCUGACGUUCCAUUUCUUUUGAUUUAAUUUCAUGGGAGCAAGUUGAUUGGAAAUUGAAUAAUGUACUGGCAUGAUUGAAGCCACCAAAGGCUGGAAUCAGAAAAAAGGCUGUUUUUUUUCAAUUUCACCCACCCUUUUCUUGUCGACCCCAUAUUUUUUAUUUUUAAACUUUUGAAAAAGCAAAGCUCAGAGGGCCAACCCAACCCCAAAACUCUGCUUUAUUAAGGCGUCAUCAGCCCCAUCGCAUUAUCAAAUAAAGGAGUAGUUAUUACACAAACUUAGUUUAUGUAGAUCAAAACAAUCAUAACCAUUCAUCAUAUGGUCCCAAUCACAAUUCAACCUAACACGACAACUCAAUGUGUUGAAAGCUAAAAGACUUUUGUAGUUGAUUGCUCAACUAAUGUCCAAAAAUACUUGAUAACAAAUAAUUUUAAAAUAAUUUUCAAAAAUAAAUACAUGUUAUAUUUUCUUCAUUAUUAUGGUUGGUACCUAGAUUUACUCUCUACAUUAUUUAUAAGAUUAGGGUGAAAAAAUAAAUGCCCGUAGGUUGAAUAAAAUUACAAACCUUCAAGCUUCGUUUUCUUUCUCCCUUCUUGCCAAGUGAUAAUGAUUGUAUUCAUAAUGAAAGCUUCCUUAUUCUAUUCUGUCCACGGGUCAAAUAAAAACUGAUUAUUGUUUCGUCCCCGAAAGAAAGGAGCUACAUAACUUCAAUAUGCCCACCGGCCAUUUGCAUAGGUGGAAUUUUGACACUUAAUUAGUCAUAUCCUAUUAUUACAGUUUGUUGCGACAUCAUUUCAUAAAAAUGGCCAAUAUGCAAGAUCGUGCUCUUAAAAUGGCUUGAGGAGGUGGACUAGUUGAAGUAUGUGAACACUAGUUCACAUCCCACUUGAUCGCUAAGUGGGGAAAAAAACAUAGUUCAUUGGUGUCAAGGUCAAAUAGAAUAUGAAAUUUCAAAGCCGCAAAGUUAUAUAAGAUAGACUUAUGUUUCAUUAGGAGAAUGGUGGGACUACCUAAGUACAUUUGUCCAGUACGAACAUUUUGAAAUAGAGAUGAAACAUUUCCAUUAAUUUAACCAUCGGUGAAUGUCUACUAUAGUUCCCAACUAAAAUUCCCAAUUCACCGUGUUUUGUCCUCAAGGUCAAAAUUGAAGCAGAGGUCAUCCUUUUCGCCGGCAACCUUGGAAAUGGGCCUGGACCUCCCAACAUCAUCAAUGAAAGGCCAGAAUUGAGUGCGACCUGGUCCUCCCAUUUCUCCAGCAAAAAAUAAUGACAUUACUUUUCUAGCAAAAAAAAAAAAGGAGGAAAAUAGAAAUGGUAUUUUAAGGCUCAUAUAUUAACUAUGCGAUGUUUGAAACUUUUCUAAAUUGUUGCAUAUGAUCCAUUUUGUCUAAAUGCCUAUUUGUAGUCAGUCAGAUCCUUGAUAUAUCACUGAAGUCUACUGUUCUUAAUAUUAUCUAUGUUAGUUGUCUCUACAAAUGAAGAGUGCCCACUAACAUUGACUAGCGAUUGAUUGAAUACCGUACUCCAUUUUUUUCCCAUAAGUUUAGUUUAGACAUGAGCAUAUUCAUCGUGUUCCUGACAUGGGAUAGUGCAUGGCAAGAUCUAUCUUCUUUCAAACACGAAAUAGAACCUGAGAAAAUUCAUAGGACUUUCACUUUAAUCAAACGCUAUUCUAUAAAAGAAAAAAAUAAUUUAUUAGUACGGAUAGAAGUUAAGGUAGUUUACCUAGUGAUUUCGGAAAGCUAGCUUGAUAAUGGAAACAUCAUUUAAAAUGUUGCCAUUCUUUCAAGAUUCCAAUACCAAAUGUGAUACCUUCAAAGUCUUUAUCAUUUUUUGAAAUUGUUUUACUUAAACAAGGUAGGAUUAAAUGUGAUUCACAAUGGUUAUCUAAAUCUCUCAAUUUUGUCCUUGUUUUCACCAAACAUUUUAUUCUUAACUUGGGUUCAACCAUAUUGGUAAUCUAAUAAAUCCAAUUCUUGACAAGAAAAUGCUUUUGAGUUCAUGAUUAGAUAAUAUCUAUGAACCACACUUGAAAUUUGUCUAGGACAGAUCGACAACACACCACUUAGGAUGGCCAUGCAGAAAAGCAUGGUUGAACUUGAGAUAAGAAUAAAAUGAUAAAUUAGGAUAAUAAAUCAGAAUACAUAAAAGCAUAAUGAACAUCAUAUUACAUGAUUCGGUCAGUAUGACAUUGUCAAUGAAAAGAAUAACAUAAAAUUUUACUAUUGGUCAAGCAAUACAGCAAAUGUUAUAACCAUGCUUGAAUCAUUCAAACACUCUCAGUUUUUCUCGGCCCUCAAUUACAUUCAAUAAUUUACACAAAUUUUUUUUUUUUAAUGUCAGAAACUCACACAAUGUUUAAUAUGCAUAAUUCCCUACAAAACCAUCACCAAAUCUAAUCGAGAUUUUCAAAACAAUCAAACACUCAGUGAUCAACUCUCUUCUAAUAAAACCCAUUAAGCCCAAUUCGAUGGAGCCCAUAAAGAUUUGGAUCGAGCCCGGUCCUCUCUCAAUCUGAACGUUGGAAACGAACUCGAGAUGGUCGCGAUUCCCUCUCCAUACACUCGGCCACCUCCGGUCCACUAGUAGCCGCCACUCGUCUCCGAUUGCCGACCAACACGCACUCUUUGCAUUCGAAUCUCAGAGAGCAGAGCAGGGAGUACAGAGAAGGAAUUCUCGCAUUGAGUAGCAAUUCUCUGUCAAUUUUUGCUCUCUGAAUCUUUGCCGCCCUCUCUGUCAGUGAUCGCAGCCGCAGGCCACCGCCGAACACCACCAGCAUCGCGGCCACUGGAAGUGCUUCGUUCGCCCCUGUUUUCCGGCCAGCGUCUUCGACGUCCUCGGAGAUUGUUCGUUUCUCCUUCCCCGGGUCCGAUCAUCAUCCUCAUCGUCUCGGUGAUGGCGGGAUCAGCACCUACGCUUUCAAGGUAUAUUUCUUCAUGCUGUGUUUUACCGAGGUAGAAACCGAGAAUUCUUAAUUUCAUCGCUAUGGAAAUUGUGACUUUCUGAAGCUAUCAUGAGAACCUCGAAUGUUCCGUGUCGAUUGUGUUUUACAUUGGCUGUGAAUCUCUCUCCAUUACUGUUUCAUUUUGUUCACCGGUCAAGCGCCUGCUACAUAGUUGGCGAUAAUCCUAAGCUAGAUCAUUUUGGAAGAAAUAAAAGCCGAGGUCAUUCUCCUUUAUAUUUAGCAUUGAGUCGAGAAAUUUUGCUAUACUACAAUGUUUAAUUGCCUAAUGUGUUCUUAACCGAGACCUUCCAGUUAUGAAAUUAGCUCAUUAACAGGCAAUUUGGUCGGUUUCCUCAUUGUAUAUGGAUGUAUGUUGAUCGUUUUUUGCUGUAUAGGCAUUCCCUAAGUUCUGUUGUCUUGCAUUAAGAAUGAUUCCAGGAGCUAUGCAUUUCGAUACGUUUAGUGUUCUCGUGACAAAUUCGAUUAUGAGUAUUGCUGGAUUUGGACCAAGAAUCUCUUUGUAUGGAGCUAAAUUUGAAUCUGAUGCUUUUUUGUUGAGUCCACGUGUUGAAUUUGUUGUGUUCACACUUAGAUCCCACUGAUCUUGUUGUGGAAUAAGAUUAUAGUUCCUUUGUUGAUACAAUGAACUGAUGGAAGAAGGAUGGACUUUUGAAUUGAGAAUUGAUCUGGCAUUAGUCUUGAUUCAUUCAUAGGCCACAGUCCACCUCCAUUGGUGUUAGUUGAGAAUCCUUAAAUGCACAGGUUCAUCAGUUCUCUUUCAAUAUCGAUUUCUUGUUGCAGUUUUGUCAUUCCAGAGCCUCAACCAUGAACCUUUUCAUUUGACUUGGACUUGAUUAUUUCUGACUUACAUUGCAUUAUGCCUAUGUUUAACGUAAAAAUAACAUUGCAAUAAAUCAAAUAUGAUGAUUAAAAUUUCGAGUAAGAUGUUCGUAGCUACAAGCCUAACAACUUAAUAUAUCCAGAGCUCAUUCACAUCCAAUUCCACACUUUCGAAUCUCUUUGUAUUAUAAAUUUAUCAUGGGUAUUAUCUUUUAAAUUUAGAUUUAACUCAUGUUUUGCUUUGUUUGCACACCGCACAGACAUGUGCGCUUUUUCAGUAAUCAAAGGAUGAUUCCAGCCAUUCGAAUGGCUGCUGGCAUUUGCUAACUGGCCAGUUGAGGGUGCAAUAAGUUACAAAUCAAAAGAAAUAACAUUUAAUUGACCUAAUUUGGACCCAAUCCAUAUCUACCCAUUUGACAGACCUGAACCUUGUCCCAUGUGCAAUGUCAUCCUUGGGUAUUCAAUUUGUUCAAUGUGAUUUAUGAACUAUUAGUAGAUGUUCAAUCUACUUCCUAAACUAUAUGAAAAAUGUUCAAUGUUGUCAUUUAUUAAUUCAAAUUAACAAAAUCUAUUGAUGUGGCUUCCAAUCCGUUAUGUUUGAAUGGUGACAACAAAAAAAGUGACACAUGCAUUACACAAUUAAGACAUUCAUAUCAAAUUACGAUUUAACAUGUUAAUGUUCUAUUUUUUUUUUCUUUUCACAAUUAGAUAUAUAAACGAUGGAUAUGUUCACUCAUCAUUUUUAAAAAUUUACUCAGGAUAUAAUAAUCUAGGUUAUAAACAAUGUCUUAUUUGUAGUUUGAGCAAACGGAAGAACUACACCUAACUGUUCACCAAUAGUUUAGGGAUCAAUCGGAACAAAUUAAAAGUUAAAGGACUACAUUGUAUUGGGCCAAAAUUCACGAACCAGUUAUAUCAUUAGUCCAAUAAUAAGUGACAUUCUAACUAUCUUAAAUUUUAUAUUAUUGGAGAGAAAAUUUGGCACCAAAUUAUUACCCAUCUCUACCAUACACUUCUUUGUUGUCAAAAUCGAUAAUGAUCCCUCUCCUAACGAGAGUUAUUAGCGCCUCGGAAUAUUUUGUUCCACGUUGACUAAUUAGAGUCUGUUUGUGUGUUCAAUAAGCAUAAUUUUGGAUAGAAAACAGAUAAAUUUUUUUUUUCUGAAAUGUUAUCAAGAAAUAAAUGUGUUUAAUUUUGUAAAUUCUAAUUAGCUUGUCUGAACUACAUAGCAUACGAGCAAAAGGUACUGUCCAAUAAUGAAAUAGACGAAGCGUGUAUAAAUUAGACAUGACAAAAGUUAUCCAAUAAAAUUGAUGUCAUUUAACAUGUAUCAUUCGGCGCUUUCAAUCAAUCAAGAAAUAUUUAAAUAAGCUGAGGAUAAAUUGAGAAACGUUUUAUUGUUUCUCAACAAAAAAUAAAAAUAAAAAUAAAAAUAAAAAUGAAGAAUCUAAAGGGCACCUACUUCGUGAGAUGAGAAUAUUAUAAAAAAUAUAGCGGGAGCACGACUUACAUCGCCGUUGAUCGAAUUCGAAUAUUCAAGAUUAUACCUGUUGUCCAAAUCAUUAUGUUUUAGUCCCUAGCAUCCUUGGUAGCAAGAAGUUUAAUGCGUUUGAUAAUCGUUUCAUGCACUCGAAAUGUGAGGAUUAUCACACCCGAUUAGAAUCUGUACGGCACGGAAAACGGAAAUCUGCAACACUGUUGAACUGCAAUACUGUAUGGGUUAUUAAUAAAUACAGACACUGUAUGCAUAAGUUCCCAAAAUGUCGGAAGGGAUCACUCGCAUGAGAGAGCAAAUCUGAUGCUUAACCUGCACAUGCUCUUUCUUUCGUGUGAUACAAGGUCAAAUCUUCUUGUAUGUGCUCAACAACAUGUAUAAUUGGUAUUCGAGUAUGUGAAUAACGCACUACCUUAAGAUAAGAUGCAAAAUGCUCAAUUAGCUUAUUUAAAAGCAAACUAUAUGGCAAAUUAGUGAAGUACUAAAUAAAAUGACCAGAUCUAACGGGGAUCAUGAGGAGUUCAAGUAAUAACCUUUUUUUUUUUUUAAAUAUGUAUAUGUAUAUGUAUAUGUAUGUAUAUAUAUGUAUACUCUUUUUUUAAUGCCGUUGGGUGUGUAGGCUCUUUGAGCAUGGUGGUGUGACUAGUUAGGUUUAAUUUGGCGGUUCCAACACAUGAAGUAUAAAACUUUUCGAACAAUUCUUAAAAAGUAAGACGGGAUGUCGAUCCAUAUGUAAGGACUUGUGAGGUAACAUGGAAUUGGUCGAGCAGAGAGGGAAUCACUUUUCGAGCAGUUGGGGAUCAAAAAGUCUGUGCAACCGUGAAGUCAAGAGGGAAAAUAUUAAACAUUGUGGGAGAUGGAAGAACAGCCAAGCUUGGAGGGAGCCGGUGAUCCGACGGAAGCAUGCUAUUCGGGCAAGCGAAGGACUCAGAGUCAAGAGUGCCACGAGCGUCGUCAAUUAGAUGUUUUCAGAGCGCAAUGGGCCAAGGAAAUGGCUAACAUAACCUAGCAGUUCUUGAUUUAGAGUUUCAUGCGUACUCUAAAAUGUUUCUAGCAGUAUCGAUUUUGCAGACGAGCUAUGCGGUGAAGUGCAAUGUUGAAAGGGGCCGUGCGUCCUGAACGCCAGCACUCUAUUUGGCUUCGAAUGCCAGUGCGAAGCGGGUCAGAAGCAGACGCGCCUCAACAAUGAAGAUGACCUCAAGUUCCUUCCCCGUGUCAUUCCAAACUGGGAGCUUACUCUUUUCUAUUCACUCUCAGUGUUCACAAGGUAGCAGGAAUUGUAACAGCAGAUAAACCAGACACUUUGUCUUAAAGCAAGAAAUCAUUUGACUAGUUCUCUGCAGUAGAAAGGGAAAAAAGUGUAACUUGCCAAUUUUUCGCUCGAGUUAAAUGGCGAAAUACAUGGAUGAUGCGGCUCUGAGAAGAUCAAAGAAAAAUCUAAUCCCCAAACGUGAAGCUCGAGAGUUUCAUGUGCAGACUUUGCGCAUUAACUCACAUAAACUUCAAACUUUCAAAGCCAUAUGUUUGAGGUUCGUAUGAAUUGUGGUGGUUUUAUCGACAUAAGAUUAGUUGCAAAUCUUCUCUUUGUGCAGGUUCUGUUGAGUACUACUGCAUACCCAUGCCUCCCCCAGUCCCAUCCGUUCCAUAAAACAAUCCUUCUUUGAUUGUAAAUCAUGAAUGUCAGCGUCUUCCAAUGCUUCAGUGAUUGUAAGAUAUAAAUUCAAAGACUCAAGAUUGCAAUACAUACAAAUUCCUGGUUUUUCCACUCACACAUGCUUUCCUUUUAUAUGUCUCGUGAUGGGUUUUCCUAAUGCGCAGUCAGUAACGAUUGUGGAAAGCUCAGAAAAUAUAAGUUUCCAACUCAUCUACCACAGGAUCAGACGGUGGAAGUUAUGGUGAGAUUCCAAAGACCUCUCUCUCGAGAUCUUAUCUUUUUCUGAGGCCAAAACAAGUUUUCCUAAGAACAGGUUACUUGCUUUCUAUAAAUUUCAAUUAAAAAGAGAAGUUCAUCCUUCAUAAUCAGUACCUAUUGAUGACCAUGCAGUUCAAUAGACAGCCUUCGACGUGACGUUGGUUUUUUCCCUCACGGCUUUAAAACUCGUUACCCAGGUUAGAGGGACCCAAGCUUUAUAAACUUACCAAGACUUCCCUCCCUAGGCGAUGUGGGACAAGAGAGGAGGCUAUCACAGUUUCUUAGUACUUAUUUGCACUUGCUAAAUUGCAGCACUAUAUUCGUCCCAAAAAAAAAAAAAUUGCAAUACCACACGAGUUACUAAUAAUUACACACACUUUAUGUAAUUUUAAAAAUUAUUUUUACCUACCAUCGGAAGAUUCAAUAUUCAUUUAAGUAAAAUAAGCGAAACUUACAAUUUCGAGAUCGCUAAAUAUAUGCUAAGUCAAAAUAAGUAUACAUUAUAAUAUAAUCUAUGAAAAAAAUUUCAAACAAAAAUCUAAAGUGGAUCAUCUUCUGAAAAAUAAGUUCAGUGGACUUGCCAGCCUAUCAAAUGUUCGCGGAUGAACAUUUUCCAGCUAUUAGAAUGGAGUUAAUUUGGUCCGAAAUUUGCAAUUAGGUAAAAAAUUUAAAAGAAAAUCCCCGAAUUAAAUUAGUAUUUUCAAAAUUUUCACGUUUUCUGUCUCCUCUCCCGCCGCUUAAGCAGAUCGCUCUCGCCCGCUCCUCCGCCGCUCCUGGCGAGCUUCAAUCGCGGCCGUCCCUUCUUCUCUCCCAGCUUCCGUCGUCCGCAAGUUUCGAGUCCUUCAUCCGCAAGCUUCACUCCUGUUCGACCGAGGUUAGCGUCGUUCAAGUCGGUGCAGCUCGCCCAAGAGACAGCGAUCGCAGCUUGUCGAAGCAAACGGGGCGACGAGGUGCGGGCUCGUCGUGGAAUGUCUCACCGAUGGCAGCGAGGCGCUCUUCCCAAGCCCGAAUGGGCCGUUCCGAUUACGGUCAGGGAGCCUGCAAAUUCUUGGGAAAGACCCCGGCUUCCGCAUUCUCUCUUCUUCGAUGCUCCUCGGUCUAUUCGUGCCGCUGCAGUUCCCGAAAGAACGGAAUUUCCUUUUCCCCCCUAAUGCUCUGCGCCGUAAGAUGGACCCAAGCUGGCGAGGUGGGUUCUUCUCCCUCGGCAUAAAUUUGGGAUUUGUCCCGCACCGGCGUUGCUCCAGCAAAUGCUUUUUUGUUUUUGGCCUCCGACGGUAAACUCCAAUGUCUGGCUUUUCUCGCUGCUGUGAUCUAUGAAUUGUUUGUGCAUUCGCCAGAUGCGCUCGUUGGUGAAUUUAACAGUAAGAUUAGUGACUUUUAAGGACAUUGCACAAAAGGGGGCCGAAAUUCUUCUUCUUUGUCGGUUUUUAUGGCAUCCUCGAGUUUGUAACUUGACUCUGUUAUUGUCAGUAAGCUAGAUAUGGACUUCUCUGAGUAAUGCUUUCGUGGUAAUCUGCAGGAGGCGGAUGAAUUCAUCCGGGCUAUCUAUGUCUUCUGAUUGAAACAGAAACUAUUCAGUCUAGUAAAGUUAACAGCGUUGCGGGGAAGACUCGUGGUGGGGAGGUGAAAUGAUUGCAUAUGUUUUGUUGAUUGUUAUCUAUGUUUGUCUCUCUAGGUCUGAUGGUAAAUACUAAAUGAGUGGUGAUUUUGAUUUGGAAUCAUAUAUUUCUUCACUCCAUUUCAAAUGCAUUUAUAGACUGUAUGUCUACUGGUUUAGUGAUGCGUCCGGACUUGCUUUAUAAGUUGCUUCUGGUUUCUGCUUAACAUUUUCAUGAUAUGGUAAGAAUUUGCCUCUGCUGUUUCGCUCUAACAGUACACCCAACAAAAACUUUAAGUAUCGGCUUUUCUUUUCUUUUUCUUUUUUUUUUUGGGGGGGUUGUUACGGUUUAUAGGAGUAGAUUUGAAUUGUUGAGAUUGUGUGCUGGCCAUUCAUGGGAAUUAAACAUGGUUAUCGCCUGCUUUCCAUAAAUAUUGAUGUUAAUGUUCUUCAAUAGUGCCCAACAUUUUCCUACGACAUUUUGGUUUUCGCAUAGAUUCACAUAGAUCAUGUUUAUGUGAGAACUGAACGAUGGCAUGGGAUCUGCAUUGCUUGAGAACUGCAAUGGUUGCCCACACUAUCCAUUUCUCUAUAAUUGUCUAGCUUUGGACAAAAACCCCUUCCUUGCCUUCUUCCAUUUAGAUAUGAAGAUGACCGAAGCUUUGGAUUUCAGGGGUUGGAGGAUAUAUCUGUAGGGUGAGCACAGCACAUAAGCUGAAGCCACUUGCCAUAUGAUCAAAAUAUGUAGCUUCCCUUUGACCAUGUGAUUUGCUUGUUACUUGCUUCAAGAUCUUGUUUCUUGGAACGUCAAUCUUCCUUUCUAAAGAUGGUCAUGAGGAGCCUUCAUCUAUGCCAUUAAAGGGCGAAGCUGGGAAGACUUGAAUUUAAUAGAGUUAUUGAACUGAGGAAUUAAUGCAGCGAGUGCAUGAAUUGCUUCAAUUCAAGCUUUAAUAAGUUACGAGGUUGUGAAAUAAUUUGUUGUUUCCAGGUAGGAAAGAGUCAUGUAGUGAGAAAAUGGAGUGAGAAAUUGAUUGCACGUCUUUCUCUUCGAUUCUGCUACUCUCUUAAUCCUUAUUUCCCCUUUCAUGUCCCUAAUUGGGGACUUUACAUUGCUGUAAGCUUGUCUUUAUGCCUUUCUACAUUCGAUGGGAAUGAUGUCACAUUUUUAAGUACUAAGAGUUGGUACACAAUACACUAUUCAUUUCUUGUACGAGAGAUGGAUUCUUCAAGGUGUCUUUCAUUGCAAGUGGAAAACAAGAUGCUUCUCGAGGCCCAGCCCCAGACGAAGAUGGUUGUCUCAAAGGAACCGUGCAUGCCUACUUUGCAUUCAAAGCUCGAUCUUCCAAAAUUCUCAUUCGAGCAGAACUCGUGCUUGUGUGCGAAUCUGAAGCUUCACUUCAAAUUAGUCAGGAUUUGAGGAAUGGUCUUUUAUCGCAAUCGUCAUCAAUUUCUAUUUCUGUAAAGUGGAUACUUAUACAUUGAUAUUCUUCUGAAUGAAUUGAAAGUAUCCAGCUGAAAGUUUCAUGAAUUUGAUGGGCAAUAAGUACAGAAACUCAAGAUGAAAGGGAUUUCUCUCUCUAUGAUCGAUGAUAGAAGAUCUAACCGUCAGUGCAGAUGGGCCAGAAGUACAAGAAGGAAAUUGCGAGCAGGAAUAGGAAGUUAUGUGAAUUUAUUUCUGGGCUAAGAACUUAGAUUAACUUGUCAAAAUGAGAUUACAUGACCACAGAUAUACAUCUGCCUCUACUUCAAUGACCAUGGUUCAAGCUUCAGCGAUGGUGGCAUGAAUCUAUUCGACAAAGGUCAACAUGAUCAGAGGCCAAAAAAGGCAGCUUUCAGAGCUAAUACGGUCUAAAACUGUACCAGAGCUGGUUUACAUUGACAAAGUCUGCUAGAAACCUCAUAUGUCUAGACUUUGAGGCCUAUUUAAGCAGGGAAAGUCCUCAACUCAGCUGCAUUAUCUUCCUCAUGCUCUCCAGAGAUCUCCUCGAGCAAAUGGCCCUUCGACUCUGGCACCAAGAAAAUGAAGACUAUCCCAAAGAAAUUGGUCGCGCCGAGUGUGAUCAAGAUCUUCUUGACACCGAUCCCAUCCACAGCAUGCACAAAACUGAAUGCAUCCACCAAGGACCCAGCCUUGCCAGCUGCGGCAUAUAUGCCAAGACACGUCGACCUGAGCUGCACUGGGAAGAUCUUAGCGGGGACCACAAAUGUGGUGGCAUUAGGGCCAAAGUUUGCGAAGAGGAAGGUGAAUGAGUACAUGAUCAUGAACCCGAUUCGAUUGUCUAGCAAGGUCCGUUCCCCAUCAUCAAUUGUAUUGCGAAUCCUCCGAUCUUGUCGUUGAAUGCCAGCGUGAACCAGUAACUUUACACAGCUAUUAUUAUAGAAGCUAGAGCUCGAGCUCCCGCUUAGUUACGCAAAGAUAAAUCGCACAUUACAUUCAACUAAGCCCCAACUACCACAUCUCUAGUUCGAGUUCUUCAGCGCCUAGCUGGUGAAGGCCGAACUUUGAGCUCCGGCCCAUGCCUCCCGCUACUGACAGAGUUAAGGGGAUAUGAAUUAAGAAAUAUAUCUCCAAACAAGAAUUCAAAGGAAAGAAAAAACGAGUACUUCUAGAAGAGUUUUUUGAAAAUUUACCACCUCAACAACGCCACCGACAGGGUUAAGGGAAUAAGAAUUAAGAAAUAUUUUUCCAAACAAGAAUCCAAAGGAAAGAAAAAACGAGUACUUGUGGAAGAGUUUUUUGAAAAUUUACCACCUCAACAACCUGCAUCGGUUUGAAACGAUGUUGAUCAAUCUGCAUUGCAUUCACGAAUAAUUACAACAAAUGGCGGACCGAUUUUCUUGCUCGGUUUGAAUCGAUGUUGCGGAGGAGCUAUGCGGCGAAGUGCAAAGUGGAAAGGGGUCGUGUGUCGUGAAUGCCAGUGCUCUAUUUGGCUUCAAAUGCCACUGCGAAGCGGGUUGGAAGCAGAUGCGCCUUGACAAUGAAGACGAUUGCAAGUUCUAUCUCAGUGUUUACAAGGUUGCAGGAAUUGUUGCAGGAAUUGUAACAGUAAAUAAAACAAACACUUUGCCUUAAGUAAGAAAUCAUUUGACUAGUUCUCUGCAGUAGAAUGGGAAAAAAAGUGUAACUUGCAAAUUUUCGCUCCAAUUAAAUGGUGAAAUACAUAGAUGAUGCUGAGAAGAUAACCGAAAAAUCCUAGAACAUGAAGCUCGAGGGCUUCAUCUGCAGACUCUGCGCAUUACCUCACAUAAACAUUCGACUUUCAGAGCCAUAUGGUUGAGGUUCAUAUGAAUUGUGUUUUGCUUUUGUGGACAUAAGCUUAAUUUGCAAAUCUUCUUUUCGUGCAGGUUCUGUUGAGUACUCCUGCAUGCCCGGGUCUCCCCCGGUCCCAUCCGUUCCAUACAACACAUCUGUCUUCGAUCAUAGAUCAUCUUCACCUCCCUCGUCCUUUUGGUACAUAAGUCUUAUUGAAGGAAUUUCUGGGUAGCUUGUUACUGGAUAUAUUGUGGAGGAAGGACAUGCACGAAGUCUGCAACUUAUGAGCACACUUACCAGUGCUAUGCCAGUUACACGAUUCUUGUGAAUGUCAGCAUCUUCCCGUGCUUCAGUGAUUGUAAGAUAUAAACUCAAAGACUUGAGAUUGCAAUUCAUACUCAUUCCUAGUUUUCCACUCAUGCAUACCUUUCUUUUCACAUCUCGUGUAGGAUUCUCUAAAGGCAUAAUCCUUUACAAUUGUGAAAAGCUCAGAAUAAAAGUUUUCAACUCAUCUACCAUAGGAUCAGACAGCGGAAGUUAAGGUGAGAUUCGGAAAACGUCUCUCUUGAUCUUAUCUUUUUCCAAUGGCCAAAACAAGUUUUCCAAAGAACAGGUUACUAGCUUCCUAAGGUUUUGAUUAAGUCAAAAAAGAGAAGUUCAUGUAGUUCAAUCUGAAAUGGCAGCUAUUAACAGUCACAUUUACAUAGUCACACCUCCUACAACAGCCUUUGACAGUGCAUUUGGUGUUGAAUGAAGACAAUCCAAGUCAUCAACUUCCUUUAAGAACAUUAAACAGGGCAUUUAUGAACUACAAUUUUUACCAAACCUAAUGCCUAGUAUCUUGUUUCUCAUCAGCGCACAUGUUCCUACCUCGGAAGUGUCUGUGGAUGACCAUCUUCACACCAUCUAUGGCUUUGGUUCUAUGGAACUAGUAAGAGGGCAUCAUCACAAGACUGAGGCUUCAUGUGGAGUUGCACUAAAGACGUAUAGAUUAUACUCAAUUUCCAUUCGUGCAAUGGCUUAUGUUGCGCUUUGUUCCUUAUUUGUCGAAGUGACAUUCUUGUGUAAAAUUGUUAUAGAAACAUGUCUAUUGUAUGGUUUGACACUACACUACACUAUAUUACAUGUAUAGAAGAGGCCAGUGCUUUCACUCCUCCUUUCACUGAGGCUUUCAAACAUUGCAACCAUUCCAGGAUCAAACAAAACUGGCGUUUUACGAAACAUCUUGAUUGUGCAUUUCUUCGCUUUUCUUUCAAUCUUCACCCUGCAAACAGAGCUAUCAACGCCCUAGGCAAAGCAUUGCAUCAUGAGUCGUAUCUUGGGGGAGACAGUCCUUGUGUUUAGCCAGGUUGAUUGCAUCAUCUCUAGAUAAUUUCACAGAAAAAUUUGAUAUUCAUGGAGAGAUUCUGAUGCUGAUAAAUAUUAGUCACAGAUUAAGGUGAUAAAUCCUAGAAAACUGAUAGUCCAUAUAAUAGCAAAUAGAGAGAAUGGUAGAUAACAAGGAUGAAUCCAUGACAUAUUGCUGAAUCCUGAAAAUAAAACUAGAAAUCUCAACAUCCUCAAUUAGCAGGUCCAACUUUUAGUCGCACUCUCUCCAUUUCUAUUCCAAUAGCCAAUAUUUGUGAUAUCUGUUUCCUCAAAAGAAACGCAAACAAAAGAGUAUUGACAUGUAUCGUGCAUGAAUGCAAUAACGUUUCAAAAUUGAAGGCCAAAUCGCUUCACACCAGAAACCUCUGGUUUUCGUCUCCCUUCAGUUGAAUCACUUCCAUAGUCUCACUAGCAAAAUUAAAUAGUAAAUUAAGGAUACGCAACAGUCAACAGGAGUGUAGUCACAAGUCACAACCACGAAUGCAAUUGUCCAUAACAGCAGAAACUGAUGAGCAAAGUAUAUUCGAAGUGGCUUGAUAAUGAGCCUUACGAGGGCUGCCGCAAAUUGAAAGAUUUACACUUAAAGCAUGGGAGGACCCAUCUGGACAUUUGAGUUGUUUAUAACAAAUUAAACAUGAUUACACAUCAAAAAGAUGCAAGAUACAAUCUAUUUGAAUCUAAUGAAGAUUACAAUUCUCACCAAAGUGACUGCUGGGCAAAAAUGUUACUUCACCUUCACAUCUACACCGGUUUUACUGGAAAUAAUCACAGCUGUCGCCAUGUCCAAAAACAACCCGUGCUCCACCACUCCCUCCAGCAGAGAUAUCUCCUUCCUGCAGCAGGCGUCCUUAAUUUGAGUCUUGAAAUGCAACUCUACAAUGUAGUUUGAGUUAUCCGUCACAUAAGGCUUCCUGUCUUCAUUCAACCGUAGCUUUGCCUCACACGCCCUUCUUAAUUGAACAACUCUUGAAGUCACACCUAUCAACAUCAGAAUUCCCAAAUCGAUCAACUUCUGACAACAUCAAUAACCAAAUUGUAUCAUGAUGAACCCCUGCUUUUCAUGAGCGAAAUCCUCCAUCGGCUCCAGUUGGAUCCCAAAUAUGACUCCUGUAUAUUGACAACGUAUCAUCCUCUUAAACUACAACUAACACUGAAUUUCUAUUUGAUAGCAUUCUGAGUACUUAAAAAAGGCUCUUGCUUCCGUGUGCUCAAUUUUACAAAAGUAAACAAAACCAUCCGCUCACAACUUUACUCAAUUGCCGGCUUAAAAAUGAAACACGGCCGAAUUUAGGAGUUUUUUUUCCCAAAACAUUAUCUUCGCAACAAGAUGAAUUGUCUAACAUUCACCACAUUGAAUCCAUCUAAGAACAUUUCACAAUCGAAGAGUCCUACUCUACUCAUCUUAAAUCCACAAAUCAAUCACUUCCUAGCACAAUAACUUCAUAAUUACGGAAAAAAUUCUGCCUUUUCCACACCUCCCUGUUUCAAAGCUGACUUGCUCUAAUAUGUAACCUAUUACUGACAUGGUUUAAAUGGACCGAUGGAGUUUAGUAAUGAGACCACUUACCAGAUUGUACUUCCAAGUUUGUAAUAGACACUUCUCCGUACGCUGUCCUUGUUGUGGGAGAGCUGAUGGAGCGGUGGCGUGACAAAGAGGGAAAUGAAGGUGAGGAUGCUGGAGUGGAGAGCCAAAGAAGUAGAGGUUGGUGAUUAAGCUGCAGUGCAGACAACAAGGGGGGAAGGAGACGAACCCUAGUUACGCCCAAAAGCUUCAGCUCACUAAAAAUUUGCUGGAAAAAAAAAAAAACACUCGUUAAGUACACAUAUAAUUUUCAAAGAGCCAGCUCAGAAAUUUAUUAUACACCAUAAUACAACUUUUGGGAUUUCGCGGAUGAGGAGCUGAUACCGUUUCGUGCAUCACUUCUGCAGAAUCCCACAUCCGAAGAUCCAGAGUCUUUCUAGGGAGAGAGGGAGGCCAUCCUGGGGUAACUCGCUCAGCAAUGGAAGAUCCAUAAGGUCCGGAGAGAGGAAGAGGGAUUGCUGGACAAUCUUUCCACGUUCCCCAUAAUCACAGCGGUUGCCAUGUCCAAGAACAACCCCUCCUCCUCCACUCCCUCCAGCAAAGACAUCUCCUUUCCUGCUGCAGGAUCGUCCUUAAUUGGAGUCUUGAAACACAAGUCUACAAUGUAAUUUGAGUCAUCCAUCACAUAAGGCUUCCCGUCUUCAUUCAACAGUAGCUUUGCUUCUUGCCCUUCUUUAUUGAAAAACCCUUGAAGUUGCACCUAUCAACAUCAGAAUUCCCAAAUUGAACAGCUUCUCGCAACAUCAAGAAUCAAAUAGUAUCAUGAUGAACCCUUACUUUUCAGGAGUGAAAUCCUCUGUCAAUUUCAGUCGGAUCACGAAUAUGACUACCGUGUAUUGACAAUGCGUUGUCCUCUUAAACUAUAAUUAACACAGAAUUUCUAUUCGACAGUCUUCUGGGUACUUAAAAGGCUCUUGCUUCUGUGUGUUCAAUUUCACAAGUAAACAAAACCAUCCACAACUUCACUUAAUUGCUGACUUAAAAAUGAAACGCAACAGAUUUUCGAGUUUUUUUUCCAAGACAUUAUCUUUGCAACAAGAUGAAUUAUCUAACGGUCACCACAUUGAAACCAUCUAAGAACAUCCUUUCAUGAUCGAAGAGUCCUACUAUAGUCAUCUUACAUCCACAAAGCAAUCACUUCCUAGUGCAAUAACUUCAUAAUUACAGGAAAAAAUCCGCCUUUUCCACACCUCCCUAUUUCAAAGCAGACUUGCCCUAAUAUGUAACCUACUACUGACAUGGUUUAAAUGGACUGAUGGAGUUCAGUAAUGAGAUCACUUACCAGAUUGUAAGUGUAACAGACACUUCUCCGUACCCUGUCCUUGUCGUGGGAGAGCUGAAGGAGCGGCGGCGCAACAAACAGGGAGAUGGAGGUGAGGAUGACGGAGUGGAAAGCGGAAGCAGAGGUGAUUGAGGUGCAGACAACAAGGGGAAAGGAGAUGAACCCUAUUUAUGCCCAAAAGCUUCAGCUCACUAAAAAUCGACUAAAACAGAAAAAACACACUUGUUAAGUACACAUAUAAUUUUUGGUCUAAAAUUAAAAUAUGAACCCUUUUCAAAGAGCCAGCUCAGAAAUUUAUUAUACCCCAUAAUACAACUUCUGGGGUUUCGCGGAUGAGGUGCCGAUACCGUUUCGUGCAUUGCUUCUGCAGAAUUCCACAUUUGAAGAUCCAGAGUUGUUCUCGAGAAGGAGGGAGGCCAUCCUGGGGUAAAUCCCUCACCCUCAGGGUUGCCAUGUCCAAGAACAACCCGUGCUCCACCACUGCCUCCAGCGAAGAUAUCUUCUUUCCUGUGGCGGGAUCGUCCUCAAAUGGAGCCUUGAGAUACAAGUCUACAAUGUACAUGUAAGGCUUCCCAUCUUCAUUCAACUGCAGCUUUGCCUCACACCCUUCUUCAUUGAACAACUCUUGAAGUCUCACCU
rnacentral:lncRNA from 1 species